CAACGUUAAUCGGGGCAGGGUGAGUCGACCCCUAAGGCGAGGCCGAAAGGCGUAGUCGAUGGGAAACAGGUUAAUAUUCCUGUACUUGGUGUUACUGCGAAGGGGGGACGGAGAAGGCUAUGUUGGCCGGGCGACGGUUGUCCCGGUUUAAGCGUGUAGGCUGGUUUUCCAGGCAAAUCCGGAAAACCAAGGCUGAGGCGUGAUGACGAGGCACUACGGUGCUGAAGCGACAAAUGCCCUGCUUCCAGGAAAAGCCUCUAAGCAUCAGGUAACAUCAAAUCGUACCCCAAACCGACACAGGUGGUCAGGUAGAGAAUACCAAGGCGCUUGAGAGAACUCGGGUGAAGGAACUAGGCAAAAUGGUGCCGUAACUUCGGGAGAAGGCACGCUGAUAUGUAGGUGAAGCGACUUGCUCGUGGAGCUGAAAUCAGUCGAAGAUACCAGCUGGCUGCAACUGUUUAUUAAAAACACAGCACUGUGCAAACACGAAAGUGGACGUAUACGGUGUGACGCCUGCCCGGUGCCGGAAGGUUAAUUGAUGGGGUUAGCGGCAACGCGAAGCUCUUGAUCGAAGCCCCGGUAAACGGCGGCCGUAACUAUAACGGUCCUAAGGUAGCGAAAUUCCUUGUCGGGUAAGUUCCGACCUGCACGAAUGGCGUAAUGAUGGCCAGGCUGUCUCCACCCGAGACUCAGUGAAAUUGAACUCGCUGUGAAGAUGCAGUGUACCCGCGGCAAGACGGAAAGACCCCGUGAACCUUUACUAUAGCUUGACACUGAACAUUGAGCCUUGAUGUGUAGGAUAGGUGGGAGGCUUUGAAGUGUGGACGCCAGUCUGCAUGGAGCCGACCUUGAAAUACCACCCUUUAAUGUUUGAUGUUCUAACGUUGGCCCGUAAUCCGGGUUGCGGACAGUGUCUGGUGGGUAGUUUGACUGGGGCGGUCUCCUCCUAAAGAGUAACGGAGGAGCACGAAGGUUGGCUAAUCCUGGUCGGACAUCAGGAGGUUAGUGCAAUGGCAUAAGCCAGCUUGACUGCGAGCGUGACGGCGCGAGCAGGUGCGAAAGCAGGUCAUAGUGAUCCGGUGGUUCUGAAUGGAAGGGCCAUCGCUCAACGGAUAAAAGGUACUCCGGGGAUAACAGGCUGAUACCGCCCAAGAGUUCAUAUCGACGGCGGUGUUUGGCACCUCGAUGUCGGCUCAUCACAUCCUGGGGCUGAAGUAGGUCCCAAGGGUAUGGCUGUUCGCCAUUUAAAGUGGUACGCGAGCUGGGUUUAGAACGUCGUGAGACAGUUCGGUCCCUAUCUGCCGUGGGCGCUGGAGAACUGAGGGGGGCUGCUCCUAGUACGAGAGGACCGGAGUGGACGCAUCACUGGUGUUCGGGUUGUCAUGCCAAUGGCACUGCCCGGUAGCUAAAUGCGGAAGAGAUAAGUGCUGAAAGCAUCUAAGCACGAAACUUGCCCCGAGAUGAGUUCUCCCUGAGACUUAGAGUCUCCUGAAGGAACGUUGAAGACGACGACGUUGAUAGGCCGGGUGUGUAAGCGCAGCGAUGCGUUGAGCUAACCGGUACUAAUGAACCGUGAGGCUUAACCUU
rnacentral:rRNA from 1 species